UACGUAGGGGGCUAGCGUUGUCCGGAAUCAUUGGGCGUAAAGCGCGUGUAGGCGGUUCGGUAAGUCCGCUGUGAAAGUCGGGGGCUCAACCCCGGGCCUGCAGUCGAUACGGGCAGACUAGAGUGCGGUAGGGGAGACUGGAAUUCCUGGUGUAGCGGUGAAAUGCGCAGAUAUCAGGAGGAACACCGGUGGCGAAGGCGGGUCUCUGGGCCGUAACUGACGCUGAGGAGCGAAAGCGUGGGGAGCGAACAGG
rnacentral:rRNA from 1 species